rnacentral:rRNA from 1 species
GAUGAACGCUGGCGGCGUGCCUAAUACAUGCAAGUCGAGCGAACAGACGAGGAGCUCGCUCCUCUGACGUUAGCGGCGGACGGGUGAGUAACACGUGGAUAACCUACCUAUAAGACUGGGAUAACUUCGGGAAACCGGAGCUAAUACCGGCUCAUAUAAUCAACCGCAUGGAUCAAUAGUGAAACACGGCUUUGCUGUCUCUUAUAGCUGAAUUCGGGCCGCAUUAGCUAGUUGGUAAGGUAACGGCUUACCAAGGCAACGAUGCGUAGCCGACCUGAGAGGGUGAUCAGCCACACUGGAACUGAGACACGGUCCAGACUCCUACGGGAGGCAGCAGUAGGGAAUCUUGCGCAAUGGGCGAAAGCUUGACGGAGCAACGCCGCGUGAGUGAUGAAGGUCUUCGGAUCGUAAAACUCUGUUAUUAGGGAAGAACAAAUGUGUAAGUAACUAUGCACGUCUUGACGGUACCUAAUCAGAAAGCCACGGCUAACUACGUG